CACUACUCUGGAAACUGAAGCAACUGGCAGAUAUAUGGCUUCUUCAAUCUGUUAAUGCAGACUACCUUUGCCCUGCGGCGCAAUGAGAUCAUCAAUGAUGAGCUACCUGUUGGAGAGAUCCUGGAACGCUGACCUGCCUUGAAAAUGGAGUC